UACGUAGGGUCCGAGCGUUGUCCGGAAUUAUUGGGCGUAAAGGGCUCGUAGGCGGUUCGUCACGUCGGGAGUGAAAACUCGGGGCUUAACCCCGAGCCUGCUUCCGAUACGGGCGGACUAGAGGUAUGCAGGGGAGAACGGAAUUCCUGGUGUAGCGGUGAAAUGCGCAGAUAUCAGGAGGAACACCGGUGGCGAAGGCGGUUCUCUGGGCAUGUCCUGACGCUGAGGAGCGAAAGUGUGGGGAGCGAACAGG
rnacentral:rRNA from 1 species